GAGCAGCUCACUGCCAGGGACACCUGUUGGCACAGAGGGAGCUUGGAGUGGACUGAAAGGGAAUGUGAGAUGGAGAAGUGGACAAAGGGCCUUUGUACUGUCCUGAGGAACAGGAAGAAAAUGAGGACUGUACCUUAUGCUUCUGUGCCCUAGUGUCUCCCUCUUCAGGUUUCAAGCAGGAUGCCUAACAUAUCAAGAAGCAUUUAGCAAUCUUCCUAAUAAAUGCACACCACUGAAGAAAAUUAAGCAGCAGGGUCCGUCGCAAAGAAUGAUGAAAGAAGCUAAACCUGAGCUUCGGAAAACUGAAGAGCCCACUGCAAAAUCCUUCUCUUUGGAUCAGUCAGCUUUCUGAACUGUAGAUGGCAAAUCCCAUGAAACAGACACACUGGAAAGCCUGGAAAAGUCUAGAACUACAUCACAUGUCACAAUAAGUGACACCAACCUCCUACUUGAUGCCCAGAAGCUGCAGAACUGAGCCAGCCUAACACCUAGGAGUCCAAAAAAAAAGAACCAGCUCCUGCUCCUGGAUGACAGUCGCCUGGACCUGAGGUCUUCCCCACUAGUGAGCAACCUGACAGGGACCCCAGGCUGGGCUGCUGGGGUUUGAGAUUGACAGCAAAUCCCAAAAGUGCCUGCUUCUUACAGUUCUGUGCACUUCUCAGCUUCUUUGUAACUCUAGCCAGUCCCGAGUCAUGUCCUUGUUCCUAGAGCUUUAGCCAAAAGUCCCAGCUAUAGGAGGAUGGAAAUCUUGAAACUUGCUGAGAUGCCUCCUUGCGUUUUGUGGGGGGCAACCCAGCUUGCAAUGGCAGGACUAUAAAAAUGAGAUAGAGAAAGGAAGUGAUAUUUAUCAAGUACACACUAUGAGCCAGGUUUCUUUUCAUACAUGAUCCCAUUUAAUCGUUAAGACCUUGUAAGGCAGUGUUAUUAUCCCUGUGUACAGAUUAGGAAGAAAAACACAGAAAGGCAGCACAGCUUCAAGUUGUAAAGUGGCAAUCUGAACCCAGCCUGGUUGACUCCAAAGCCUGAUUCCAAAAACUGUUGGUAUUCAUUGAUAGCAAAUCCUAGAACCUGAGAGCUGGGAGAGGUGUCAGAGAUCGUGUGGCCCAACCCUUCAAACUCAGGGGGAAGAAACAGGGUCCCAAGAGCUGAAGCCACGUGUCCAAAGCCACAGUGAUAUUUGUUUGCUGUCUUAGCAUGCUGCUAUAAAAGUUGGUAAAUUAAAACAUCACCCAUAUAUUCGUCACAGUUUCUGUGGGUCAGAAGUCCAGCCACGGGGUGGCUCAGUAGGUUCUUUGCUUAGGGUCCCACCAGGCCAAAAUCAAGGUGCUGGCAGGGCUGUGUCCCUUUCUGGAGGCUCCAGGGAGGAUUCUAUUUCCAAGCUUACUUAUAUUGUUGGGAGAAU
rnacentral:lncRNA from 1 species